GCGAAGUAUAUUUAAGUGAAGUUUUCGGACGGAACUUAAAUAUAUCUUAGCGGCGGACGGGUGAGUAACGCGUGAGCAACCUGCCUUUCACAAAGGGAUAGCCUCGGGAAACUGGGAUUAAUACCAUAUGAUACUUAACUUUCGCAUGAAAGAUAAGUUAAAGCGAAUAAGCGGUGAAAGAUGGGCUCGCGUCCUAUUAGCUAGUUGGUGAGGUAACGGCUCACCAAGGCGACGAUAGGUAGCCGGCCUGAGAGGGUGAACGGCCACACUGGAACUGAGACACGGUCCAGACUCCUACGGGAGGCAGCAGUGGGGGAUAUUGCACAAUGGAGGAAACUCUGAUGCAGCGACGCCGCGUGAGUGAAGAAGGCCUUCGGGUCGUAAAGCUCUGUCCUAGGGGAAGAUAAUGACGGUACCCUAGGAGGAAGCCCCGGCUAACUACGUGCCAGCAGCCGCGGUAAUACGUAGGGGGCGAGCGUUGUCCGGAAUUACUGGGCGUAAAGAGUUCGUAGGCGGUCUGAUAAGUCAGAUGUGAAAGGCGUAGGCUUAACCUAUGUAAGCAUAUGAAACUGUCAGACUUGAGGUAAGGAGAGGAAAGUGGAAUUCCUAGUGUAGCGGUGAAAUGCGUAGAUAUUAGGAGGAAUACCAGUGGCGAAGGCGACUUUCUGGACUUAAACUGACGCUGAGGAACGAAAGCGUGGGGAGCAAACAGGAUUAGAUACCCUGGUAGUCCACGCCGUAAACGAUGAGUGCUAGGUGUCGGGUAGAAA
rnacentral:rRNA from 2 species